CUAGAAUCAUAGAUCUUACAACUAUACUUCAGAAAAGAACCAUCCAAUGUCAGAGUUUUAUCAUUGCUAAACGUCCAGAUCUCAUAUCAUACAGUGAUAAUCCUCCUAGAUUAGGAUUAUACCAAAUUAGUGAAUGAAUAAAAUAACUACAAUUUGGAGCUUCAAGUAAAUCAAACAGUUAACUUAAUUCUCUAGUCGACGACUAUGUUGGUACCUGAAGAAUCAUUCUGCCCGUGCCGUUAGUUCAGCACCUUGGUCCCUUGUUCUUGGCGUCUCCGAUCCCAAAUCUCCAACCUGGUAGCGAAUUAGCAUGGUUCAGUUUAGCCCUUAUCUAUACACUUGAAUCAAAUAAACAUGCAAACAUGGCAUUUAUAGAACAGAGGUACACCACAACAGAUGGAAACUCCAAGGUGUAAGACUAUUUUUCAGAGAAGUGUCUUGUUUUUUCUUUUUAUUGAGAAAAGAGAAUCAUCUUGUUCAGAUAACAUACAAUCGGGCAAACUUUAAACCACACGUAAUAAGACCAAUCUGGCUGCUUUCCUAGACUAUCGUUUGCUAGGAUUUUGAUAAUCAUGAAAAACAGGAAGCUUGAGUAUCCUCCAUUCCUCCAAAUUUGUUUGGAGCAUGGAAGUUUAGAAUCCUCCUAACUGGUCAAUGACGGGUGACUCCCGCCUAAUUCCCCUAGCUUUGUCCUAGGAAAGCCUAAGUUUUAGAAAUUAAUGUCUAAUAUGCAUCACAAUCUCAAGAGAUUCUUCUGAUAAUAAAUUCUUUUUGCAAAAUAUAUAUAUGUAUUUUUCUAAGGAAAGAAUCUAACUGAAUCAACGACUGCAUAAAGUUCUUUAGUAACACACAGUUGCUUUAUUGUACAUAUAUCUGAGGCCAAAAUAAGAGACAUGAAAUCAUACUGCAGAAAAAGAGGAAAAGAAACCAGUCUCCAACUGUAUGUAAACUAAGAAGAAGGUGAACACUACAUGCUAGGGACUAAUCAAUGCUAGGGACUAAUCAAUCUCAGGUCAAGCCAAUACAUUGGUAGAAAAUAGCAAGGCAAAUGGAGAAAAUUUGAACUGACCCUGGUCCUCCUCUGGCCGACCAUCCAUUGGCUGCUGCUCCAAGUGCGCGGACAUGGACAUGCAUACAGUCCUCUCCGAGUAGCCUCCACGCAUGACCUCCUAUCCCAUGCGCACAGUGAGCAGCUGCUCAUGCAGGCAUUGUUAGACUGUAUUUACAUGUGUAUAUUGUAACGUUGUAUACCACCUCAUUAUAUAUAUAUGUGAUAGGCCACCCCUAGAGGGUUGUGCCGGUUC
rnacentral:lncRNA from 1 species